UCCCAAAACCUUGAACACAGGAGCGCAGGAUGGGAACAGGAGUGUCUGAAAGAAGACGGGGGCACCAAGAAGGCAGAGUCAGGUCAAUGUUGUUUCCAGGGAGACGGGGGUGGAUGCUGUUGUGAUGAGUGAAUGAGAAGUUCGUGAAGGGAACGUUUUUGCAUAAAGAAAACCCACACUCCAGUUCUCGGAAAAGGGUCAUGAUUCCUUCCCUUGUCUCCGUAUAUUUCCCCUUUCUGUUCAGCGCCACAAUAAAGCUCAACUGGAACUGCACAGCCAGAUGUGAGAUGAGUCUCUGCUGAUGUGAGUCUGCCCUGCAGCCUGAAUUCGCAUCUUCCCUGAAGCUUCCCCAGGACUGGUGAGAAGACUGGCCGUGGGCUGAGCCUGGGCCCCAGGAGCUGCAUGCAGGCAGGGGAGGCCCGUGGCCCUCUGGUGUCAGGAGACCCUAGAGGCUCAGGAGUGUGGUCUGGAUAAAGAGGAGAGCGCAGUGCUCAGAAGCACACAGAGCUCGCUGAAGCCCAGGACAGGGUGAGUCCUCCGUCUCACUCAGGACAACGCACCAUGCAGGGGGAUAUUGCUAAUUCCACUAAUAAAGGUCCUAUUUGACAGUUCCAACAUUGGAAAUAAGAGUUCCGUCUUCCGCCAGGCACAGUGGCUCACACCUGUAGUCCCAGCACUUUGGGAGGCCGAGGCAGGCAGAUCACUUGAGGUCAGAAGUUCAAAAGCAGCCUGGCCAACAUGACAAUAACCCGUCUCUACUGAAAAUACAAAAAUUAGUUGGGCGUGUGGUGUGCGCCUGUAAUUCCAGCUACUGGGGAGGGUUCACUUGAACCCGCUUAGCACCUGGGAAGCCAGAGCAUGGGCUUGGCUGACCCAGCCCGCACCUGGCUCUGCCCAUACCCCCACCCUGGUAGGUUAACACAAAGGACAGAGACUUCCGGGAGCUCUAUGGCCUCGCCCUUUGCUUGAGACACCGGACAGCCUCCCUUGAGUAGUAUAAGGAAGGCAAAAAGCCCAUGAAGACUAACACAACAAAAUUCAUAAUUGCAAAGAUGUGGAGCGCUUUUGCAACCGCUGCCUCUGGGCUGGAGGCAGACGACAGCCACAGUGCAGGACAGCAUCCGCAGGCUCAAUAACACGGCACCCAGGAAGGAGAACACGCAUGCGUGUCCUCAGCUGUCACCAUUGCCAGCAACCCCCUGAAUAACCAAGAGGUCUUGAAUCUGUUCACACGGCCGGUUCAUUACUAAAGCUGGUGUUUGAGAAAGCCAAAACCCUAAGGCUAUUUAUAACUGAGGAAAUCUCACAGAGUGUACCUCACUCUUGCAAACCUCACCCGCCUGCCCGCUCCCUCGCCCCACCUCAGCCUCCCCUGAGCCACUUCGCUUGCACUCGCUUGCCCGCAGCCACUGCCCCCAGGGCUUUGCCAGCAUUAUGUGCUCCCGAGCGGACCUUCUCUCCCCUCCCCAACAGCACGCGUGUGCACAUGCACCUCGCCGUGCCACAGCUGCUGGUGUGAGUUCACCCACUCACCCAAUGACCCCUAAGCACUGGGACUGCUGUCAGAGCAUUCGUGGGUACAGAGAUUGCCUGUCCAGUGUCCACCUGCCCUCCACCCUCCCCAAGCCAACACUACCACCGGCGUGAUCACGCACAGGAAGACCAGCGGAUCCACCCUCACCGCAAGCAGCAGCUGCCGCCAGCGUGGAAGUACACACAGAGGGUGUACACAGUCCUGUGAGGCCAGAGCCCCACCACCGUGCUAACACCACUACUGGUGCAAAUGCGCACAUGAACGCCUGCGGGGCUCCCACCCACCCCACCCAGCCUUGCUGACACCACUGCAGCCAACAAAUGUGUACGUCCCAGAGGAAAAGACAUCAUUACAUCAGAAACACACUUGCAUACAAAUGUUGAUUGCAGCAAAAUUCAUAAUUGCAAAGAUGUGGAAUCGACCUAAGUGUCCAUCAGCCAAUGAGUGAAUGUGGUACAUAUACACAAGAAAAUACUAUUGAGCCAUUGAACAAAAUGAAAUAAUGUCUUUUGCAGCAACUUGGAUGAAGCUGGGGGCCGUGACACUAACUGAACUAACUCAGCAGAUGGAGAGCCAAAUACCAUAUGCUCUCACUUUAUAAGUGGGAGCUAAGUUAUGGGUAAUCAAAGACAUGUAAAGGGGUGUAAUGAACAUUGGAGACCCAGAAGGGAGAAAGGGGGUGGAGAGUGAGUAAUGAAAUACUAUGUACCAAGUACAAUGUACACUACUUGGGUGAUGGGUGUAUUAAAAUCUCUGGCUUCACCAUUAUACAAUUCAUUCAUACAACUAGAAACAACUUGUACCCCAAAAGCUAUUGAAAGAGAAUACAUUUUUUUUUAAAAAAAAAACUAUAAUACAAGGCUACACUAGCCAAAACAUGAUGGUACUGGUACAAAAACAGACACAUAGACCAAUGAAACAGAAUAAAGCCACACACCUACAACCAUCUGAUGUUUAACAAAGCCAACAAAAAUAGGCAACGGGGAAAAGACUCCGUAUUCAAAAAAUAAUCCUGUGAUAACUGGUGAGCCAUAUGCAAAAGAAUGAAACUGGACAGACCCCUACAUAUCACCAUAUACAAAAAUUAAAUCAAGACAGAUUAAAUAUUUUAAUGUAAGAUUUCAAUCUAUAAGAAUCCUAGAAGAAAACAUGGUGAAAUCGCGUCUCUAAUAAAAAUACAAAAAAGAAAAAAAAA